rnacentral:rRNA from 1 species
AACGAACGCUGGCGGCGUGGAUAAGACAUGCAAGUCGCGCGGAACAUUGCUGGUAGCAAUAUUAGCAAUGUUUAGCGGCAAACGGGUGCGUAACACGUAGCUCACCUACCUUCGAGUGGGGGAUAACUCCGAGAAAUCGGAAUUAAUACCGCAUGUGGUUGUAAGACCAAAGCCGGGGACCUAAGGCCUGGCGCUUGAAGAUGGGGCUGCGGCCUAUCAGCUUGNGGCGGGGUAACGGCCCACCAAGGCGAUGACCGGGUAGCUGGUCUGAGAGGACGACCAGCCACAGUGGAACUGAGACACGGUCCACACA